rnacentral:rRNA from 1 species
GUAGGGUGCAAGCGUUGUCCGGAAUUAUUGGGCGUAAAGAGCUCGUAGGCGGUCUGUCGCGUCGGCUGUGAAAACCCGGAGCUCAACUCCGGGCCUGCAGUCGAUACGGGCAAACUGGAGUGUUGCAGGGGAGACUGGAAUUCCUGGUGUAGCGGUGAAAUGCGCAGAUAUCAGGAGGAACACCGGUGGCGAAGGCGGGUCUCUGGGCAACAACUGACGCUGAGGAGCGAAAGCGUGGGGAGCGAACAGGAUUAGAUACCCUGGUAGUCCACGCCGUAAACGUUGGGCGCUAGGUGUGGGGCUCAUUCCACGAGUUCCGUGCCGCAGCUAACGCAUUAAGCGCCCCGCCUGGGGAGUACGGCCGCAAGGCUAAA